CCUACGGGGGGCUGCAGUCGAGAAUCUUUCACAAUGGGGGAAACCCUGAUGGAGCGACGCCGCGUGGAGGUUAAGGUCUUCGGAUUGUAAACUCCUGUCAUGCGAGAACAAAGCCCGCAAGGGUGUGAUAGUACCGCAAGAGGAAGAGACGGCUAACUCUGUGCCAGCAGCCGCGGUAAUACAGAGGUCUCAAGCGUUGUUCGGAAUUACUGGGCGUAAAGGGUGCGCAGGCCGCGCGGGCAGUCAAAUGUGUAAUUCAGAGGCUCAACCUCUGG
rnacentral:rRNA from 1 species